rnacentral:rRNA from 1 species
UACAGAGGUCCCGAGCGUUGUUCGGAUUCACUGGGCGUAAAGGGUGCGCAGGUGGGUUGGCAAGUUUGAUGUGAAAGCCCCGGGCUUAACCCGGGAAUGGCAUUGAAUACUGCUGAUCUGGAGGAUCGGAGGGGGGACUGGAAUUCUUGGUGUAGCAGUGAAAUGCGUAGAUAUCAAGGGGAACACCAGUGGCGAAGGCGAGUCCCUGGACGAUACCUGACACUGAGGCACGAAAGCCGGGGGAGCAAACAGG